UUAAGCCCAUCAUUUUAAAAUUAAAAAUUCACGCUUUAACGGUCAUAUUUCUCUACGAUCAUCCUAAUUAAAGCCGCUCCACUUGUCAACUUCAUCAAAUCGCUGCGUUUCUUUGUGGCACCGUCAAAAUUUUGUUUGGAUCGAAGAAAUUUUCCCCAUCCUGCCAUGGCCGUGUGAAAAUUUCUUCAAUGCAAACGGAAAUUUUAUCUUCCUUUCGCCAUGGAUUUCCAUAGCUUGUCAAGGAGAGAGACCCAAUCCUUUUGUAAGAGGAAUAAGAUUCCGGCCAAUAUCACUAAUGUCGCCAUGGCCGACACUCUUGCUGCUCGAUCUUCAAUCCGUUGAAGGAAUUGAAAGGAGUUUCCUGAAUUGCCGAUGAAAGCAGAGCUUAUUUCCUCGGAAAUUCCACGAACUGCACUGAGAAUUCGGAAAGAAGAAAGGCCUUUAAAGAUGAGGCAAUUACUACUCAAUCACAUCGAAAGUAAUUGUAUUUUUGGAUUUAACAUUUUGCCAUUUGUGUGGUUACCUUUAAUCACUUAUCUUGAAUAUGAGAACAAGUGGGACUGAGUUUAGUGUGAACCGUUCAAA